rnacentral:rRNA from 1 species
AUGGCAUCUAUAGCAUCUAUUCUGAGGAAAAUCAGUGUCCCCAUCAUCUCCUAUUACGAUGUCUCUGAUCUGUGUAACACAGCGCAGAGUUUAUCGAGGAUCUCCAAUAGUAUAUUGUAUAAUAGCAUGAGUGCUGAUAAACAGAUGGCGGUCCAAUAUGCUGAGGACCAGAGGACCAAGGAGGAGAUGACCGAUCAGAUGGGCAAAGGCAAAUCCAGCACCCACUUUCUUGAGAAGCAGAGGACCGAGGAAGGGGAAAAUUUUGUUUUUGCCACUCUAGAUUUUGCCAAUUUUCCUUAUGCAACUCUAGAUUUUGCCAAUUUUCCUUAUGCCACUCUAGAUUUUGACAUUUCAUUUUUGCCACUCUUAGUUUUUGACAAUUAUCACAAUUGCCAUUCCCGUGGCAAAAGCAAAAUUUUCAGAGUGGCAAUUGUGAUAAUUAUCAAAAGCUAA